AGAGUUUGAUCCUGGCUCAGGACGAACGCUGGCGGCGCGCCUAACACAUGCAAGUCGAACGAGCUAAGUUCCUUCGGGGACGAAGCUAGUGGCGGACGGGUGAGUAACACGUGAGUAACCUGCCCUACAGAGUGGAAUACCGUUUGGAAACGAACGUUAAUACCGCAUAACAUAUGCGAAUCGCAUGGCUUGCAUAUCAAAGAUUUAUCGCUGUAGGAUGGACUCGCGUCUGAUUAGAUAGUUGGUGAGGUAACGGCCCACCAAGUCGACGAUCAGUAGCCGGACUGAGAGGUUGAUCGGCCACAUUGGGACUGAGACACGGCCCAGACUCCUACGGGAGGCAGCAGUGGGGGAUAUUGCACAAUGGGCGAAAGCCUGAUGCAGCGACGCCGCGUGAGGGAAGACGGUUUUCGGAUUGUAAACCUCUGUCUUCGGGGACGAAAAUGACGGUACCCGAGGAGGAAGCCACGGCUAACUACGUGCCAGCAGCCGCGGUAAUACGUAGGUGGCAAGCGUUGUCCGGAAUUACUGGGUGUAAAGGGAGAGUAGGCGGGGCUGCAAGUCUGUUGUUAAAUCCAUCGGCUCAACCGGUGGCUGCGGCAGAAACUGUAGUUCUUGAGUGAAGUAGAGGCAGGCGGAAUUCCUAGUGUAGCGGUGAAAUGCGUAGAUAUUAGGAGGAACACCAGUGGCGAAGGCGGCCUGCUGGGCUUUAACUGACGCUGAGGCUCGAAAGUGUGGGGAGCAAACAGGAUUAGAUACCCUGGUAGUCCACACUGUAAACGAUGAUUACUAGGUGUGGGGGGACUGACCCCUUCCGUGCCGGAGUAAACACAAUAAGUAAUCCACGUGGGGAGUACGGCCGCAAGGUUGAAACUCAAAGGAAUUGUCGGGGGCCCGCACAAGCAGUGGAGUAUGUGGUUUAACUAGAAGCAACGCGAAGAACCUUACCAGGUCUUGACAUCGUGCGCAUAGUAUAGAGAUAUAUGAAGUCCUUCGGGACGCAUAGACAGGUAGUGCAUGGUUGUCGUCAGCUCGUGUGGUGAGAUGUCGGGUUAAGUCCCUCAACGAGCGCAACCCUUACGAUUAGUUGCUACGCAAGAGCACUCUAAUAGGACUGCCGUUGACAAAACGGAGGAAGGUGGGGAUGACGUCAAAUCAUCAUGCCCCUUAUGACCUGGGCUACACACGUACUACAAUGGUGAUAAACAGAGGGAAGCAAGACAGCGAUGUGGAGCGAAACCCUAAAAGUCAUCUCAGUUCGGAUCGCAGGCUGCAACCCGCCUGCGUGAAGCUGGAAUUGCUAGUAAUCGCGAAUCAGCAUGCCGCGGUGAAUACGUUCCCGGGCCUUGCACACACCGCCCGUCA
rnacentral:rRNA from 1 species